GACGAACGCUGGCGGCGUGCUUAACACAUGCAAGUCGAACGGAAAGGCCCUGCUUUUGUGGGGUGCUCGAGUGGCGAACGGGUGAGUAACACGUGAGUAACCUGCCCUUGACUUUGGGAUAACUUCAGGAAACUGGGGCUAAUACCGGAUAGGAGCUCCUGCUGCAUGGUGGGGGUUGGAAAGUUUCGGCGGUUGGGGAUGGACUCGCGGCUUAUCAGCUUGUUGGUGGGGUAGUGGCUUACCAAGGCUUUGACGGGUAGCCGGCCUGGGAGGGUGACCGGCCACAUUGGGACUGAGAUACGGCCCAGACUCCUACGGGAGGCAGCAGUGGGGAAUAUUGCACAAUGGGCGGAAGCCUGAUGCAGCAACGCCGCGUGCGGGAUGACGGCCUUCGGGUUGUAAACCGCUUUCGGCUGUGACGAAGCGUGAGUGACGGUAAUGGGUAAAGAAGCACCGGCUAACUACGUG
rnacentral:rRNA from 1 species